rnacentral:lncRNA from 1 species
CUGUUCUGAUCUAGGGUUUUACAGCUUUCACUUACUCCAUAAGAGUAAGCUCUGCCCCUUCGAGUUUACAGUUUUCAGUUUCUAUUAGAUUUGUUUGUUUUCAUCUAAUUUCCUUUGGCCUAUGAUUAAAAUUCUUAAAUAUAGACAAGCAUAUGUCUGAAUUUUCAUCAUGUUGAAUACCUAAUCUUCUCUAUGAGGCCAAUUACAUCUAUUUUUUUUUUUUAUGUUUUUCUAUCCAGAUUUCUACUUUUUGUGCUCAAUAAUUCAAACAAAAAACUGGGUCAUAUGAUGAUUAGAAGCAUAGUUCAAAUGAAAUCUAUGUGAUUACAAAACUUCUUUUUUAGUCUUUCGCUCCUAUCUGAUGACUCUUUUUAUUACUAUUAAAAAUCUGAUUUUUAAGCAAUUAAUUGUUGUAUUUUUUUUGAAAAAUUGAAAUGGUUAAUGGACAAUGACGAUUUAUCUAUUGGUCUCGUUCGUCGUAAUGGUGUUUAAACCACCUUGCCGACCAUUCUGAUAUAUCACCACCCAUAAACUGAGUCCUAUUACUAUACCUUUUUUUUUGUUUAUUUUUCAAUUUAGUUCUUCGUUUCUGGUGCUGUGAUGAAAAAAAUCUUGUGUCGGAGGCUUUUUGUCGCUGAUGGUUUACACAACCCUCUAAGAAGUUCUGAGCACUUUUUUUGUUUUCAAUUUCAGUAUUUUUUCUGAUUAUUUAGUAGUAGUAAUUGAAUGAUAAGUAAUUUAUUUUGAGGAUGAAUGAAGUGAUGAUAGAAUUCAUAUGUUAAUUCACUGAAUUACAUUUUUAUGAUGUUAAGAGUGAAUCCCGACAGGUUCUGAUCGUUUAUUAGUUAAUUAAUCCUCCAUUAAUUGUGAUUUUGCUUUGUUAAUUUUAUGUCUUGUGGGCAAAUGAUGAAAUUUUUAUAUCGUAAAUGGGUAAUUUGCGUCUGAAUCUUUCUUUGAUGUUAUAACCUUGGAGAACUGAUGCCCUUUAAACUUUUUACUUUGCAUUUUGUUUUCAUAAUGCCAAUUAGCAGAGCAAAGGUGUCUUUCACAAAUGACACACAUUUGCAUUGAAGGUUGGCUAUAUAUAUAUAGCGAUUCUCCGUGCCUUUCAAGCUUUUUUCUCGUAUUGAUUACGGCCUCGAACAAAUUGCUACAUUUUCUCCCUUCACUGUUGUGCUUAUUUGGUACCUUAGUUGCUUUGUUUUUAACGUAGACAAUUUGCAGAGCAAGGGUGUCUUUCAAAAUGACAUACAUUUGCAUUGAAGGUUGGCCAUAUGUAUAGCGAUUCUCCGUGCCUUUCAAGCUUUCUUCUCGUAUUGAUUACGGCCUCGAACAAAUUGCUACAUCCACCAAUUAUUAUGGUACAUUUAUCUAUAAAUUUGGUUAUAUAAAUGACUUGAUCUUGACAAUGAGUUUGUAUUAUCUAAUUUUAGUUUAAGUUUCUUAAUUAUGCAUAAACUAUUAAAUUUGUGAUCUUAGUAGUUACUCUCUGUAGUAAAUUUGUUUAUUAUCAUUGGCCGAUGAUUAAAUUUCUAAUAUAGACAAGCAUAUGACUGAAUUUUCAUUAUGUUGAAUACCUAAUCUUCUCUAUGAGGCCAAUCAUAUUUUUUCCAUAUUGUUAUGCUUCCUGUGUUCAAUAGUUUUAUAAAAAUAGUUUUUUUUUGUGUUGUCAUUGUUUAUAAACGGGUCAUAUGAUGAUUAAAAGCAUAGUUCAAAUGAAUUCUUUGUGAUUAUAAAACAAUCUUUAUAGUCUUUCGCUCCUAUCUGAUGACUCCUUUUUUAUUUGUGUUAAAGGUAUGAUUUGUUUUUGAAAAUUUUGAAAGGGUUAAUGGACUAUGACGACUUAUAUCUAUUGGUCUCGUUCGUCGUAAUGGUGUUUAAACCACCUUGCCGACCAUUCUGAUAUAUCACCACCCAUAAACUGAGUCCUAUUACUAAACUUUGCUAUUAAUUCUUUUAUUUUCCUGUUCAUUUUGAGAUGUAAUGGUUAUUUUUUACUUUUAUGGUGCUUUGAUGAAAAAAUCUUGUGUCGGAGACUCUGGUCUGUGAUGGCUUACACAACCCUCUAAGAAGUUCUGAGCACUAUUUUUUUUUUAUUUCCAAACACGGAGUAUUGUUUUUCUCGCAAGUAUUCAAUUUUUUAAGAUUAUUUGUUAUGUUAAUGUCUUGUGAGGAGUAACGAAGUGAUGAUAGAAUUCAUAAGUCUGUCAAUCCACUGAAAUACAUUUUAUGAUGUAAAGUGUGAAUCCCGACAGGUUCUGAUCGUUAAGUGAAUAAUCCUCCAUUUACUUUUCCUUUUUGCGCUUACUCAUUUUUGAACUUUAGUUUUAUGGGCAACUGAUGAAUCUUAUAUAUCGUAAAUGGGUAAUUUGCGUCUGAAUCUUUUCAUUGAUGCUAUCAACCUUGGAGAACUGAUGCCCUUGAAAAAUUUUAUUUUGUAUUUGAAUGAUUUUGAUGUGGGCUAGUAACUUUUGGAUGAUUGGUCUGAUAAGAGUAUAGGAGUGGGAAAUUAGGGUGAUCAGUGAUGGAGUGUAGGCCUCCCGUGAUGUGCCCUUGUUUCCUAGAGAAUGGCAAGUAACUAAUGUGGGAUCGUGUAACCGACAUUGCAAUCGAUGAUGACAACCCUUCCAAUACGAUUCAACAUCGGUUACUUUUCUACCAACUAAGUUAUGCAGCUGUCUUGGAGAUUGUAAGUUAACAGGCAGUUUUUUUCUGGGAUUUGAUACAUUUGGUCCACCCAUGUUGAACCAAAGAGGAAAUGAUGUGUAUUUAUUGUCAUCUGACUUGCAUUCCAUAUGUGGAUGUUAAAGUGGUGAAUGAUUCAUUAUAACUGAUCCUCUCAGUGUAAGUUGAAAAUAUCGUUUUGAUUAUGUUAAAUAUGUUCAGAAGAUUGCUUAUGAAAAGUAUUGUCUUUUAUUUAUUUGUGAUCAUUGGCUUGUUGUGUAGUUUCCUAAUUCACCAAAGAAGAUGCAGCUGAUAGAUGUAAAUUUAGAGUUUGAGACGUAGCAACAGAAAAAUUCUAUUGGAAGGCUUGUUAGUUGUAAAUUAUACUGAUGUAUUAAAACCUAUGUCAGAAUGUAACUGGCUCCAUAUUU